rnacentral:rRNA from 1 species
GGACGGGUGAGUAACACGUGGGUAACCUGCCUGUAAGACUGGGAUAACUCCGGGAAACCGGAGCUAAUACCGGAUAGUUCCUUGAACCGCAUGGUUCAAGGAUGAAAGACGGUUUCGGCUGUCACUUACAGAUGGACCCGCGGCGCAUUAGCUAGUUGGUGAGGUAACGGCUCACCAAGGCGACGAUGCGUAGCCGACCUGAGAGGGUGAUCGGCCACACUGGGACUGAGACACGGCCCAGACUCCUACGGGAGGCAGCAGUAGGGAAUCUUCCGCAAUGGACGAAAGUCUGACGGAGCAACGCCGCGUGAGUGAUGAAGGUUUUCGGAUCGUAAAGCUCUGUUGUUAGGGAAGAACAAGUGCAAGAGUAACUGCUUGCACCUUGACGGUACCUAACCAGAAAGCCACGGCUAACUACGUGCCAGCAGCCGCGGUAAUACGUAGGUGGCAAGCGUUGUCCGGAAUUAUUGGGCGUAAAGGGCUCGCAGGCGGUUUCUUAAGUCUGAUGUGAAAGCCCCCGGCUCAACCGGGGAGGGUCAUUGGAAACUGGGGAAACUUGAGUGCAGAAGAGGAGAGUGGGAAUUCCACGUGUAGCGGUGAAAUGCGUAGAGAUGUGGAGGAACACCAGUGGCGAAGGCGACUCUCUGGUCUGUAACUGACGCUGAGGAGCGAAAGCGUGGGGGAGCGAACAGGAUUAGAUACCCUGGUAGUCCACGCCGUAAACGAUGAGUGCUAAGUGUUAGGGGGGUUUCCGCCCCUUAGUGCUGCAGCUAACGCAUUAAGCACUCCCGCCUGGGGAGUACGGUCGCAAGGACUGAAAACUCAGAGGAAUUGACGGGGGGCCCGCACAAGCGGUGGAGCAUGUGGUUUUAAUUCGAAGCAACGCGAAGAACCUUUACCAGGGUCUUGGACAUC